AGUGAACGCUGGCGGUAGGCCUAACACAUGCAAGUCGAACGGCAGCACAGUAAGAGCUUGCUCUUACGGGUGGCGAGUGGCGGACGGGUGAGGAAUACAUCGGAAUCUACUUUUUCGUGGGUGAUAACGUAGGGAAACUUACGCUAAUACCGCAUACGACCUACGGGUGAAAUCACGGGAUCUUCGGACCUUGCGCGAUUGAAUGAGCCGAUGUCGGAUUAGCUAGUUGGCGGGGUAAAGGCCCACCAAGGCGACGAUCCGUAGCUGGUCUGAGAGGGUGGUCAGCCACACUGGAACAGAGACACGGUCCAGAGUCCUACGGGAGGCAGCAGUGGGGAAUAUUGGAGAAUGGGCGCAAGCCUGAUCCAGCCAUACCGCGGGGGUGAAGAAGGCCUUCGGGUUGUAAAGCCCUUUUGUUGGGAAAGAAAAGCAGCAGGUUAAUAACCCGAUGUUCUGACGGUACCCAAAGAAUAAGCACCGGCUAACUUCGUG
rnacentral:rRNA from 1 species